AUGGAGUCAAGGGCACUCCUGCUAUGGAUGCUGCUGUUCCUGGUACAAGGUUCCUCUGGAGAGAUUGUGCUGACCCAGUCUCCAGGUUUGCUGUCUGAGUCUCUGGGACGAAAGGCCACCAUCUCCUGCAAGUCCAGUGAGAGGGUCACUACAUAUGGUAGUAAUUAUAUGCACUGGUAUCAACAGAAACCAGGACAGGCCCCAAAACUCCUUAUUUAUGGUGUAUCCAACCUAGAAUCUGGGGUCCCAGCCAGGUUCGGUGGCAGUGGGUCUGAGACAGACUUCACCCUCACCAUCAAUCCUGUGGAGGCUGAUGAUGCUGCAACCUAUUACUGUCAGCAGGGUAAGGAGGAACCUCCCACAGUGCUCCAGGGCAGAACAAAAAACUCCUAG